GGAUCAAUAUUUCUGUCGUGCCUUUGGUACGUACGGGUGUAAUUGGUUUCUACCUUCUGAGGCUCCUUGAUGUCAUUAAUUUGGUGUCUUGGGGAAUCAGGACUGUUACCUUGAAAAAAUUAGAGUGUUUAAAGCAGGCAUACGCUUGAAUACAUUAGCAUGGAAUAAUGAAAUAGGACGUUCGAUUCUAUUUUGUUGGUUUCUAGGAUCGACGUAAUGAUUAAUAGGGAUAGUUGGG
rnacentral:rRNA from 1 species